GAUGAACGCUGGCGGCGUGCCUAAUACAUGCAAGUCGAGCGAACAGACGAGGAGCUUGCUCCUCUGACGUUAGCGGCGGACGGGUGAGUAACACGUGGAUAACCUACCUAUAAGACUGGGAUAACUUCGGGAAACCGGAGCUAAUACCGGAUAAUAUAUUGAACCGCAUGGUUCAAUAGUGAAAGACGGUUUUGCUGUCACUUAUAGAUGGAUCCGCGCCGCAUUAGCUAGUUGGUAAGGUAACGGCUUACCAAGGCAACGAUGCGUAGCCGACCUGAGAGGGUGAUCAGCCACACUGGAACUGAGACACGGUCCAGACUCCUACGGGAGGCAGCAGUAGGGAAUAUUCCGCAAUGGGCGAAAGCCUGACGGAGCAACGCCGCGUGAGUGAUGAAGGUCUUCGGAUCGUAAAACUCUGUUAUUAGGGAAGAACAAAUGUGUAAGUAACUAUGCACGUCUUGACGGUACCUAAUCAGAAAGCCACGGCUAACUACGUG
rnacentral:rRNA from 1 species